CUAUGGUAGGUCCAGAUAGGAUAACGAGAAAAGGGGAGAUUUAUAAAUUACGUCACCCGAAUUUCAAGAUUUUUUGACCCCUUCCCCUCCUUGUCAUAUUUGGCAAGCAUUUAUGACUCCUCUCCCCCUUGUCACAACAUGUCACAUUUAGUUAACCCUUCCUCCCCCCUAAAUGUAUGACGUAAUGGAUGACCCCAAAGCAGAUAGGGUAGGAAAUCGGAAUACUUGAUAACUACAAUACUUAAGUAACAGAAUUGUACUAAAUAAUUAAAUAUACGCUAUGUAGGCAAAAAGAGAUAAGUAGGCUGGAAUUCCGUGGCCCACCACGGGAAUAAAUAUGCCAAAUAAACAACAUAUUCAUAGAUAUAGCUAAAACAAGGUCGCGGGUGGUGGGGCGGAAGGAACAGAUGAGGCCCUGUUUCACCCAAGAUCGGCGACACGAUAUGUGCCCUUGCCUAUUAGAAUAUUGUUUAUAAAACUCUACGCUAUUAAAUAUCGUCUAACUGAUGAUUGUGCUUCAUUUUCGUAUAUACCGUACCGUAAAUCUACUUGACUAGAAUUCAAUGAUUAGUAUAAUAGUCCACAAGUUCAAUAAUUCAUUAUCAAAACAUUUUUUUUGUUUCGUCUUGGUUAAAUACAAAUAUUUUUCCUCUGCAUAUAACCACUAGAUAGUCAAGUGUUGGGCUAUGUAACUGGGUAUUUAUGAUGGAUUUAAAUAAUUCACUUAAACGUGUUAAAUAAUUUACUUAAAUUUUCGGUAAAGUUUUGAAGCAGAAGUGAACAACCGGCACUGAAAAUGGCAUUUGCAUUCAAUAAGAAACAGACGAUACUAGAUUUGGAUGAAAAAUAUUGGAGGGUGAUUCUGGAUUAUAUGCCAGUCCAAGACUUAAUACGCACGGAACGGACCAGCAAGGCUUGGCAGAGGAAGAUACUCUCAUACUUGUCAAGUGCCCGAAUCACUAUAGGUCCCGAUAAACCAGAAAAUCCGAAUGAUCGUCACAACUUUGUCUAUCUAAGUGAAGAAGAAGAUUUUCCAUCGGUCAAGCUUUGGUCUCGUAAACUUGGCCAUGCAGUGUUUUCCUUCAAUAAAUACUCUGGAGGUGUAGACGACUGCAUGUCGCUACAUACCAUGUUUCCUAAUCUGGAGGAACUUGAGGCAAGUAUGAUAAGGCCCAAGUCCCAUCAUAGAGGCAUUUACCAUGUAGUAGGUACAUUAUUGUCGAGACUCGGAAGUAGCUACUUCCUGACUGAGGAUUCGUUUUAAACGGACCACUUUGGGAGUCCGUUUAAUAGAACCCGAAAUCCGAAGCCAACAAGGCACCAUUCAUUUAUUACGUAAGACGAUUUUUGCCAGUUUUUGACCCCAUCCCCUACAUAAGAAAAAAUAAGAAUAGGCUGACCCCGCAUCCCUGCUUAAUAUUUGUCACGUAAGAAUGAAAAGCAAUUUUUAUUUUUUGUUAAUAAUAAUUAAUAAAUUUUGGUUAAAACUUUAAGUUUUUUUUAUUAUAAAUUUUUACAAGAGAUUUUGAUCAGUGCAGGGACGUUUAUUUAAUUUAUUGGCACCCUGGCCCAGUGGGCCUGGGCCGCCCUAUAUUAUAAGCACAAAUACAUUUUAUAUCGGCGUCUUCUGGAAACGUGGGGCCUACGCUGCCCUUCGCAGCCUGCCUCCCCGAGCCAUGGCCCCCUUGGCCCUAGGGUAAAUACGCCCCUCAGAGCCUCAAAACCCACCUGAUAUAAGUGCAUUUGCCA